AUGAAGGUUCAACUUCUCACGCUGCUGCUCCUGCUGUGCAGCACUCAGGUGCUCACACUCAGAUGCUACACCUGUGAAAGUGACAAGGGCUGUGAGAUGGAGACAGAGUGCCCGCCACCAGCUCAGUACUGCAUGACCACGCAGAACGGUGGAGAACUUUCUCGAACUUGUGAGGAAUAUUGUGACCAAGAUGAUUUCACAUAUUGCUGCCAAGAAGACCUCUGCGGCCCACCAGUCAACCCUCAGCGCUGACCUUCGCGUUCU